GUUUAUAUUGAUGUUUUAUUAUGUUUUUGGUGAUUUAGUGGUUUUUUUUUUUUCAAAUUAUGAUUUUAUAUUACAUAUAAAGUAUACACACAGGUUAUUGGAUACAAAAAGACAGACACUUCAUACUUCAUCAAGCUUCAUGUAUAUGGAGGUGUAAAAGGGUGGGUACGAGAAAAGUUAUUCAUUUGGAGAUAGACAUUUAUUUGGCCUAUUGGCAAUAUAGAUGCAGAGGAAAUAUUUGAGGAGGUAUUGUUUGACAGGAUUGGGCAGCAAACUUUAAGGGCUCGGAUGUUUUCAACCCGCGCAAAAGAUUUAAAUUGAUUGCGUUUAUCUAUACCAUCGUAUAAAGCAUU